GAUGAAGAACGCAGCGAAAUGCGAUAAGUAAUGCGAAUUGCAGAAUCCGUGAGUCAUCGAAUCUUUGAACGCACAUUGCGCCCCUUGGUUAUUCCGAAGGGCAUGCCUGUUCGAGCGUCAUUUCACCACUCAAGCCUCGCUUGGUAUUGGGCAACGCGGUCCGCCGCGUGCCUCAAAUCGACCGGCUGGGUCUUCUGUCCCCUAAGCGUUGUGGAAACUAUUCGCUAAAGGGUGUUCGGGAGGCUACGCCGUAAAACAACCCCAUUUCUAAGGUUGACCUCGGAUCAGGUAGGGAUACCCGCUGAACUUAAGCAUAUCAAUAAGCGGAGGA
rnacentral:misc_RNA from 1 species